UUUGUGUCUGUGUGUUGUCCCUGUGUUUGUUAUCGGUGGUGUAUUGUUAUUUGGUGCCGUCCUACUAACACGUUAAGUUACACAAGUUUGUCUUCAAGAUCAAUUUAAUUUUAUUCUUUAUCAAUCACAAGCACGACUUGCUUCUCAUUCCACUUGUCAUUGGCAGAAUCGUCGACGUUUGCAUCGACAUGGAUUGCCAUAAAUAAAAAUAGAAUAGAAUAGAAU
rnacentral:lncRNA from 1 species